ACGCUCGACACCUACGGAGGCAGCAGUUGGGAAUAUUGGACAAUGGAGGAAACUCUGAUCCAGUGACGCCGCGUGAAGGAAGAAGGUCUUCGGAUUGUAAACUUAUUUUGUCAGGGAAGAAAAAUGACUGUACCUGAAGAAAAGCACCGGCUAACUACGUGCCAGCAGCCGCGGUAAUCUGAGGCGGGCUGGCAAGGC
rnacentral:rRNA from 1 species